rnacentral:rRNA from 1 species
UACGAAGGGGGCUAGCGUUGCUCGGAAUGACUGGGCGUAAAGGGCGCGUAGGCGGUUUGAUGAGUUGGGCGUGAAAUUCCUGGGCUUAACCUGGGGGCGGCGUUCAAUACCAUCAGACUUGAGUGUGGAAGAGGGUCGUGGAAUUCCCAGUGUAGAGGUGAAAUUCGUAGAUAUUGGGAAGAACACCGGUGGCGAAGGCGGCGACCUGGUCCAUUACUGACGCUGAGGCGCGAAAGCGUGGGGAGCAAACAGG